rnacentral:lncRNA from 10 species
UGGCUCAAUGAGGUCAAACAAUUUGCAGUCAGGGAGUAGGGAUGCUUUGAAUAUGGCCAUCAUCUCACUGGCUCACUGUGUCAUAGGGAUUCUCUCAAUUCCCCUGCCACAGUGAUGAAUUCAGGGAUGGGCAUGGAUCCAAGAUGAGCAAAUUCAAGUACUCCCGGGACCUUUCUGUUGCAGUUAUCAGGAAAGAUGUUUCCUUCUGAUUGGGGUUUUCUCAGUUAGCUGGGCAUGAGUCUGGUACUGCUCAUGAUCACUCUGUCUAACCUAUGUACAGAUUAGUGUCCAAGAGAUACAGGACAGACUCUGAUGACAUCAUUUGAGCCCUGGAUGCCACUUUGCCUGAAUUCAGUUUAUCUUUAAACUUUGGUCAUGUGAACUUACAAAUCUGUUUUAUUUGUUUUUGCUGGAGCUUCUUCAAAUUGUGUUUCUGUUACUUGUAACUAAAACAAUUCCCAGUUUCAGCAAUAUUCCACUGAUGCUCUAACAAUUUAAAAAUAAAACAAGUAUGAGAUCACCCUUAUUCUUGCCAUUAUAUUAGAUAAAACUGUGGGCAUCCUAGUUUCUUCACUAAAAUAUUGGUUUUCUUUUUUUUUCCAUUUCUU